UAAAAUUCAAUAUUUGCUUUGAUUCUGUAUGUAUUACAUAAUAAUAUCUGAGCAUUUUUGUCUUUCUUCAUAUUUCAGAAGUUUAUGUUUUAUUCUUUCAGAAACAUAAAUACAGUUUGAAAAGGAAGAGGUAAUUUCAUCAUUAAAUUGCUAAAGGGAAAACAGACAAAGUACUGAAGAAGUUGCCCUGAGUCAUCUGUGAGCUUAACGUGUCAGUAAUGUCAUGCAGCAGAAGUUUCAUGAUGUGAUAAUGUAAUUUGUCUACACCUGGAUGUCUAUCAUAUAUCUGAAUGUGCAGAACGAUUGGAAAACAUGGAAUCACAGCUUGAAGUGGCAUUGUGUAACUGGAGCUGUAGAUACAAUUCAGCAGAUAUCAUUCACAUACUAGAAGUAAGAUGAGGGAUAUUGUUGCUUAAAGUCGCUUACAUGACCUUACGUAUCUGACGUUACACCAUCAUGUCAUACAUGCCUAAUAAUCUGCAGGU
rnacentral:lncRNA from 1 species